rnacentral:rRNA from 1 species
CCCCCCGCGGCGGGGUGGGGCACGGGGGGCUACGGGAGGCAGCAGUAGGGAAUCUUCCGCAAUGGACGAAAGUCUGACGGAGGAACGCCGCGUGAGUGAUGAAGGCUUUCGGGUCGUAAAACUCUGUUGUUAGGGAAGAACGAAGUGCUAGUUGAAUAAGCUCUGGCACUUGAGAGUCCUACCAGAAACACGCUACAUGGCUGC